UACGCAUGACUAGCUCAAUAAUUUUAGGGGCUUCAAGGCAAAAAUAUAUUUAAAUCCUUAAAAAUAUUAAAUUUUCAGAAUAAAUUUAAAACUAUUAUUAGUAACUUUUUAUAAAAUUUAUGUUAAAAUUUAUAAAAUAUAUAUCAUAUAAAAAAUCUGAUCACCCUUAACUAUUAAAAAUGGGAGGACACGAAAAAUUGGAUGCGAGGCCAAUGGUACUGUUUACCCCAUCUAAACCGGUACUACUUAUAUGGUUAAAAAUCGUAAAAUGAAAUUUGAGAAAAAACUGAAUUUUGAAAUGAAUGAUUCUUAAAUAUUGUAAGCUAUCAACAAAAAAAAUGCUUGAAACUAUUGGCAAAAGUUCCAAGAAAAAAAAAUGCAUUGGUUUUUUAAAAAAAGUUGUUUGUAGAAAAAGAGAUUGAAAAUUACAAGUAGAUAAUACCUAUAUGCUAAUAAUAUUACACUGGAGAAUAUAGCUUUAAAAAAACAGUUUAGCAUACAGAAAAGUAAAGAAAUAAGAGAUUGUUGAGCUUAAUUAUUGCGUGAGAUAGGAUAGUUAGAACUGCCAGUUUCAUUAAAGUGAUUUGUUUCGUGAAAACAAUGCACAGACAGAUUAAAUCUCUCACUAAAUCUCGAGAAUAAGAGUAUAAUGAUGGUUGAUAAAAAAGAGUAUUAAUGAUUGAUUAAUGAAUAACCAGAUUUGCUUCUCUUUCUUCCUUGUUGACUAAAACGGUUACUGUUAUAAAACAUGACGAAGACAGACAUCGUUAAAUUGAAAUCAAAGUAAAAGUUUUUUAAAAUUUUGAGAAAAAGCAAAAAAAAAAAAUUAUGAAACUUUUUGCCCAGUAAAAUUAAAAUAUAAGUCGAAUACAUUAAAUUUUCAAAAAAACUUCAAAUUUAACCAAAAACAAAAUUUUUAAAACUACUAAUAGCUGAAUAUUUGCACGAGAAACAUUGGUCAAGUAAACAUUAGGUGCUAAAUUGGCAGUGACCCGAUGCCUAGUGUCCAGGACGAUUAAAUGGACGCCUAAUUAGGCGGCGUAGGUGUUUAUAUAUUAUAAAUAUAUAUUAAAUAUAUGUAAUAUUUUAUAUUAAUAUCAUUAUUUAUAAAUUAUAACGAAUUUUAUAUUAAUUAUUUUCAUAAGAGUUAUAUAUCAUAAUAUAUUAAUCAUUAUAGUUUAUAAAUUAGUAAAUAAAAAAUUAUUUAUUAAUACAAUAUUGUAAUUGUUUAGGCGAUUUGGAAGGUAAUCGCCACGGUAUUAUAAGGCCUAGUGCUUAAGAUUCGCGUAUACCGCUAUUUUUGGAACACUGCCAACAAGUUAAUAGUCAAUUCUCUUUAUAGCAAAUAAACAAAAGAAGUUGUAAACCCUUCAUCGUGUAAAAUUAAACGUCACAUGAUGAAGGCACCAAUAAUAAUUUCUAUCAAUACAAAAGUGUACAAUAAUUACAAAAGCAGACCAGAAAGGGUACAAAAAAAAUUCUCUCUCCAUCUUAUCCUCUCAACCAAAGUGACUAAAAGACGACAAAGCUUAUCCUCCGACCGGCGUCGUGUGUGCGCGUGAGCGCUGCGUGAACGUCCGGUUCGGCGGAUCAUUCUCUCUUUCAUCCUCGUUUUCGAUUUAGUUCUUAUCAGUUUCCCUCACUCUCUCAGUUUUGCUUGGUGUUCUGAGUUUGGAGGCCCCGCCGUGUUUCGUCUUCACUGCAGAAAAAGAGAGUUUGCGAAGGUGUUCAGCUAGGCUUUGGAGGUUGACACGGGAGUGUUUGUGGUCUCUGUAAUGGAAGUCGGCUUUUAGGGUUUUGCAGGGGUCCUUUAAGCUCCUGCAGGGCCGGUGGCGCGUGAGGCGAAUGUUUGACUCAUCUUUUCGUCUAGUUUGUUGUCUUGUACGGCUCAGUCUGGAUCGAAGGUGAGGGUCGUGUGGAAGUGAAGCGCUCGUUCUUCCUUGGUGUCUCGGAUUAACGUGCUAUGUCUUCUCCGGUCGUGUGAGCUUUGGAGAUCCAGCUACUCAGAGGUGCGUCUUUAACCCCCGUGUUGCCAGCGUGUGUUGGUGCUCGUGGUGGUGGCGUCGCGGUGUCGGAGAUAGUCGUCUAUGGCUUCUUUGAGGCGAGGCUGCGACCUCUCUCACAUCCAUUUGUUCUCUUCCUGACUUUGAGGACCAGUUUUUCGAUUGAGCUUUGUCGACAAGCUCACUCGAGUUGUUUGCUCCGGUUUGUUUUGUUUCUGUAUUAUCUGUACCACCAGUUUCAUCUAUCCGACAUCAAAGGCUAACCUUACUUUGGUUCUCGGAGAAGGCGUCUGAUGAGGAGUGGAAGCUUCUUUGGUAUGAGGAGUCUCUUCCUCCUCGGUGGUUCAGGCGACUGAUAGGCAUAUCCCAGUGCCGCUAUGAUGCCUUGCCAUGGGGUUUUGUUGCGGUAGUGCCUUUUAGUUUGUCUUUGCAGGUUAAGGAGCGAGGUUCUGGUUCGGUUUGCAGCUGCCGUUCUGUUCCCGUCUUUCUGUUAUCCGUCAAGGCAUUGGUGCUUAUAGUGGUUGAGGCGGUUAUAAGUCUUGAGGCGUUCACCGACUCCUAGCUACUCCUGAGGUAACAUUGAUAGUCCCGACAUCCGAGGCGACGAGGAGAACCUCACUUAUUUGUGGUUAUAGCCGAGGGCUGAGAACGGGAAUUGGUUCCAUAGGAUUUCAAAAUCAAGUUAGUGAAACAUGCCAGAUUUAGUGAGUGGACGAAACUAGUCUUGUAAUACAUUGAUUAGGGAAAUUUUGUUCAAAUCAAACUUGUAACCGUUUCACAAUUCCCGUCUAUCGGGUGGAUUUUAAUAUAUAUAUUAAAAAAAAAAGUGUACGACAA